GGAUGAUAAUUUCAUCUUCUCUUUUUUGAUUUUAUAUUUUGGUACACCUAAUUAAUGUGAAAAUGGGUAUAUCCAAAAUGUACACAAAACCGUUAUUGUGAAUACAGGAUUUUCAAUGUAUAUUAAAUAAUUUUGAAAAGAGGGGGCUUUUUAGUCACGAAAGCAGCAUAUGCUCAAGUAAGUUCUUCUAAUCAAAAUUU
rnacentral:sRNA from 1 species